AGCAUUAUUACACAGUGUUCGUUAUAACAAUAAUACUAAAAUAAUAUAAUUUAAUGUAGAAGGAUUGUAUUUUGACCAUCCAAAUUGGGUUUAUCUUUUUUUGUGAACGACAAUCUAUGCGUUGAUGCAAAAAAAAUUUGAAAUUUUUAAUAUUUUUUUCACUUUUGAAUUUCGGUGACAUUUAUGUUUUUAUUAGUACUGUACUAUCCAAUGAGAGUUCAGACACACUCUUUAAGACUGAAUCAUUCUACCCACCAUAGAAUAAACUUCAUUCCCAGGGAAUUUUACGUUUUGUUCAGACCCUUGGCAUGGUGACAUUAUUGAGCAAAAAUCAUCAUGUUGCCACAAUAGUGAAAAUGGUAAUAGGUUAUAACAAUCAAUGACUGAUGGAUUGGGAUCUUGUGAUAUGAGAAAUUCUUACAUUAAUAUUGUAACUUUUUUUUUAUAUAAGGGCUUUACCACACUUGCUACCACAACGGAUUCCAGAAUUUCCCGAAGACUUCUACAUUCUUGGGGGUUUUCUGGCAAUCACAAGGCUGGCAACUCGUAUGGGCAUACGGAACCGAAUU